AGCAGAACCGAUGCUGUUGCUCUUGCUGUCCUGAACUGAGUUCAAGUUUAUUCCAACACUUCCUGAUUGUAAUGAAGAAUCCUUAUACCGCAGUUUUGAAUCAUUUGGUGAAUGUACAUUUCUUUCUCUGUCAGAGUUUGGGACAGUCUAUGAGAGAAUGAUCUGCUACGAAGAGACAUUGUAAAGCCAUUGAAGUUUAAAGAAUCCUGGUUAUGAAAGAGAAUAUUAUCUGUUUUCUCCAUAUUUACCCAAGAUGUUCCAGAUAAAGCUCUAGUUACACUACUCCUGAGAAAUCUAACUGAUGAGCUCAAAGGUGGUUUCUUUUCUUGUUGCUUUUUCUUUACAUCAUUUUUUUCUUGCAUUGACUUUUUGCAUUUUCCAGAACUCACAGCCUUUUUGGAAUUCUUCUUGGCUUUCUUUUUCACUUGGCUAGAUUUCUUUUUGCCUUCACUAGUUUUCCUUUUGCCUAACUCUUCCUUUUUGACUAAUCUGGAAGGUCUGGCGUGGUGAGCCAUGUCUAUCAAGUAGUUGAUAUGUAAAAGGAGUAGUGGAAAAAAUCAUGGGCUCUUGAAGGAAUUUUUCACUUCAACAGAAAAUUGCAUACUCUUAUUGCUGUUCUCUGUCAUAAUACAGAGUUGAAUCUGAAAUAAAAAAAGUUUUUUUAAUUUAAUCAUAAAAAUCUAUAUAUCAAUAUUAUAUAAAAGUCUCAGUUAAAGCUAAAUAUUUAAAACAUUGAGGCAAAAAUUGGAAUAUUUGAAUUUUAUCAAAUAUUAACAUCUUAUUAAUGUUAUAUAUAUAUAUAUACAUACACACACAUACACACACACACAGCAUAUACUCUAUAGUCCUUUCAAAGUGGGCAUCUUGCUAAAGUGGACAAAGAGCAAAAGACCAAGGGAACUUCACACUUUACUGACUCAUUAUUUGUACACAAAUAUAUAAAUGAAGCCUGAGUUCACUGCAACUUGCUUCAGGUUAAUUAACAGCUCUCCUCCCCCAUAUGAUUCACGACAAGAGUGUGCCUGGUUACAUGUGGCUGCACAGAGGAUUAAGACCUACCUCCACAAGGUCAGGUAGGACCUACUCUUAUCACACCUCAGGAACAGAUCACCUGAUCCACACAUCUGCCCACCCUGAAGCAGCAGCCAGAGAGAGCUACUGCUUCUCCACCCACAUGCUGGCCAAUAGACCUGGCCAGGUGAAAGGUGAGGAUAGUAACCUGUAUCCUCAAAAGGGAUAUUCCAAGUUAUUUCUCCUCUCGUUGAGCUGGAAAAGAGCAGGAGAGGAACUGGGAUUCUGAGUCACAAUUCCUUCUGGGAUGGUGUGACGACAUAUUGCACCAUAUUCAGUGCUAAGCCUAAAGCACACAAUCUUGCUGUCAGUGUCACAUAAAUAUAUUAUGUAGGCAGUGGUGACUGCUCCACAGACAUUAAGGUUGUUACCGCCAAUAUUCCAUAUAAGGCUUAUCCUGCCUUCCCAAUCCCCAAUAAUUUUUAAGUUUAAAGAACUCCUGGUCUGAAGUUUUCUGUAAUAAAUUCAAGUCUGAUUUCCAGAUCAGAAUUGUUUAGGGGACAGAGUCAAUAUACAUCUAUGUUUUUAUCAGGCUGUCAAGCGAUUAAAAAAAUUAAUCACAACUGAUUGCGCAAUUAAAAAAAAAUGAAUCAUGAUUAAUCGCACUCUUAAACAAUAAUAGAAUACCAUUUGUUUAAAUAUUUUUGAAUAUUUUCUACAUUUUCAGAUAUAUUGAUUUCAGUUACAUUACCGAAAAUACAAAAUGUACAGUGCUCACUUUAUUUUUAAGUACAAGUAUUUGCACUGUAAAAAACAAAACAAAUAGUAUUUUUCAAAUCACCUAAUACAAGUACUGUAGUGCAAUCCCUUUAUCAUGAAAGUUGAACUUACAAAUGUAGACUUAUGUAAAAAAAAAAUGCAUUCAAAAAUAAAACAAGGUAAAAUUUUAGAGCUUGCAAGUCCACUCAGUCCUACUUCUUGUUCAGCAAAUCGCUCAGACAAACAAGCUUGCUUACAUUUGCAGGAGAUAAUGCUGCCCGCUUCUUGUUUACAAUGUCACCUGAAAGUGAGAACAGGCGUUCGAAUGGCACUGUUGUAGCCGGCUUCACAAGAUAUUUAGAUGCCAGAUGCGCUAAAGAUUCAUGUGUCCCUUCGUGUUUCAACCACCAUUCCAGUGGACAUGCAUCCAUGCUGAUGACGGCUUCUACUUGAUAACAAUCCAAAACAGUGUGGACCGACGCCUGUUCAUUUUCAUUAUCUGAGUCAGAUGACACCAGCAGAAGGUUGAUUUUCUUUUUUGGUGGUUCGGUAGUUUCUGCAUUGGAGUGUUUCUCUUUUAAGACUUCUGAAAGCAUGCACAACACCUCAUCCCUCUCAGAUUUUGGAAGGCACUCCAGAUUCUUAAACCCUGGGCGAGUGCUGUAGCUAUCUUUAGAAAUAUCACAUUGGUACCAUCUUUGCAUUUAGUGAAAUCUGCGCUGGAGUGUUCUUAAAAUUAACAAAACGUGCUGGGUCAUCAUCCGAGACUGCUAUAACGUGAAAUAUUUGGCAGAAUGCAGGUAAAACAGAGCAGAGGACGUACAAUUCUCCCCAAAGGAGUUCAGUCACAAAUUUAAUUAACAGAUUUUUUUAAACGAGUGUUAUCAGCAUGGAAGCAUGUCCUCUGGAAUGGUGGCCGAAGCAUGAAGGGGAAUAUGAAUGUUUAGCAUAUCUGGCAUGUAAAUACCUUGCAAUGCCAUCCACAACCAUGCAAACGCCUGUUCUCAUUUCUGGUGACACGCUGUAAAUAAGAAGAGGGCAGCAUUAUCUCCCGUAAAUGUAAACAGACUUGUUUGUCUUAGCGAUUAACUGAACAAGAAGUAGGACUGAGUGGACUCGUAGGCACUGAAGUUUUACGUUGUUUUGGUAUUGAGUGCUAAAUUUAAUUUAAAAAUUAGCAAUUAAAUAAAAAAACCAACAUUAUAAUAUGAAUAUUAAGGUUACGUUAAACUCAGAGGCAGUGGUAUGAUGAAUAGGGAAUUUGUCAGGAGACCUAGAUUCUUUUCCUACUCUACCACGAACUUGCUACAUGACCUUUGGCAAGUCACUUCACGUCUGCGUCUUUCUGUUUUUCCUAACCCUACCCUUUGUCUGUAUGAUCUAUUUAGACUAAUUUUGGAGGGACAGGGAUUGUCUCUUUUUAUAGGUUUCAACAGUGCCUAGCACACCCAGUGCUACUGUAAUGCAAAUAUUGUCAAGGGUAAUUCAAGAAAAGACAUCUUUAAACUAGAGCUAUCAAUUAAUCGCAGUUAAAGCCUGCGAUUAACUGAAAACAAAAUUAACGCAUUAAUUUUUUUUAAACCGCGUUAAUCGCAUACCUCCGAGUAAGGCAUUGGCUGCAGAGGGACUGGACAGCAUCUGGUCAGGCACAGUAACCAAAUCUGCCUCCGGAGGAUGGAAAGAAAGGAGGAAGUGGCUCCCAUCCCGGCUCUGAUGGAAAGACAGGAGGUGAGCCUGGUGAGCUCAGAAACCCAACCCAAGAGGAGCAGCAUCAAGAAUUCACCCUUCUCCUGUAAAACUCACACCACUCCCAUCUCCAAAAUAUUGACAUUCCGUGAUAAAAAUAUCUUACCCCUUCGAUAAGCCAAAACUCCUCUAAAAGGAGGAACAAGAACUAGGACUGAGUGGACUUGUAGGGUCUAAAGUUUUACAUUGUUUUGAGUGCAAUUAUGUAAAAUCAAAAACAAAAAAUAAUUCUACAUUUGUAAAUUCAACUUUCAUGAUAAAAAUAUUGCACUACAGUACUUGUAAGAGGUGAACUGAAAUGCUAUUUCUUUUAUCUUUUUACAGUGCAAACAUUUGUAAUAAAAAUCAUAUUAAGUG